rnacentral:lncRNA from 1 species
AUGAUAUCGCUCACAUGGAGCUCCGCAUCCCAGAAAGCAGUUGGAAGGGGGGUCUGCAGCCCCACGGCCAAGGCUGCUGUGGGAUGGCUGGGGCCAUCCAAGGAGCUGUUGAUGUUUACCUUUGCAACUGGUUUACCUAGCUCCCACCUGCUGGCUCUUUGGAGCCCCCAAACUAUUAUUAUCGAGGAAAUUGUAUUAACUACUACGUGCCCAAGGAGGAACCUUGAAGACCAGUUCCCAAGGCCACGCCAACCAGCUCAGUGUGACAGCAUGCAGGAAUGAAAAUAGACAAGCGGAAUGAACUCACUGAAAUCAGCAGGUGGUGUAUGUACAGCUGCUCAGAGCAACAUUCGGCUUGCCUGUUCCCAGCAAGGGCAGCUGACAUCAGAGGAGCAAUGCCCCGUGAAUGUGCCAUUCAGUGCAGAAGAGAGCCCAGAGUUUGGACGUUAGACAUGAAAGUGUUUUGUAACAUGCAGAUGUUUUCCAUGCAGAGGCUGAGAAAAGUGAUGAACAAGAUUUUUUAAAUCUUGUGCCGUUGUGGGUUUUUUUUUUCUCCCAUUUCCCUGCUUUUUCUUGCAUGGAAGAAUGAUACCAUCAAAAAUGAUGGGUUAUAUCCUUAGCUAAUAUAAUUUGGUGUGACUCCACUAACUUCACAGAGCAGUGCCUAUUUAAACAAGCUGCAAAUUUCUGCCAUCAAUUUAAAUCUACACAGAUUUACAUCAUGGGGAACACUGCUAUACAUUUUUUUUCCAUAGCUCAUAAGUUGCUUUAAAAUAAAUAAAUCAG